rnacentral:rRNA from 1 species
UACGAGGGGUGCAAGCGUUGCUCGGAAUUAUUGGGCGUAAAGGGUAGGUAGGUGGUCUCAUUUGUCUGGGGUGAAAGCCUUGAGCUUAACUCAAGAAGUGCCCCGGAAACGGUGAGACUAGAGUCUUGGAGAGGGUCGUGGAAUUCUCGGUGUAGCAGUGAAAUGCGUAGAUAUCGAGAGGAACACCAGUGGCGAAGGCGAGUCCCUGGACAACACCUGACACUGAGGCACGAAAGCUAGGGGAGCAAACAGG